ACGGACGUCUUUUUAUAUGCGUCUUUUCAACGAUGUUACGUAUUUUCAAUGCCGUGAAAAAGAGGUCUUUUCAACUUUCAACCAAAACCGAACGGGCAUAGUCGUCUUUUUAAAGACAGUUUGCUGGGUGGGCAGCUUGCUCAGAUUCUGAAUAAAUUUGUGUCCAUUUCUUUCUAGCUGGCAAACUAAGUGAGCUAGACUUUGUUUGGUAAUUCCAUAUGUCGAUAACAUCGUUUGUUUGUCACUGGUAUGGGAUAUAUCCUAAACCUAGACAGUGAUAGCAGCAAGCGAAAACCAGCGAGAGGGGGGAGAUAAUUCAGGUACUGUUUCAUCUGCUGCUGGUUUGAUAACGUUUUUCCACAUGCAAUUGAUUAAAUGAGAUUUGUAUUCUCUAAAGAUUGUAAUUGUGUUCAUAUCUGAUGAAUUUUGAAGAAAAAUCCUCACAGCCGUUUUCCACACCUAAAUGUGAACUACAAUUUGGUGCGCACCCUUUUACUAUGUACAGUAGGCAGUAAGCUUCCCAUGUGUCAUCAAAAUUACGAUCUUGUGCUAGUGGUUUAUAUAUGGGGGGAGUAUAAAUUGUACAAUUGUAAACGAAUAAAUAAUGGUUCAGGUUAGAACCCAUGUAUAUUAGUUAAUAUACUGCACCAACUACAUAAAUAUAUGAUCGGGUCCAUUGUCUUCUAUUUGGACUUUAAAACGCAGACAGCGCCGCCAUUUUACCAGCUCGUGAGAUUUUUUGUUUGAUACACAAAACCAAUAACAUUAAACGAACUCAGAAAUCUCAAACAAAUUAAAUAUUUUUUAAUUACCUUGACGAAAUUGUGUACAUUAAGUCAGACAAACCCAAAAUCUCAAGUUAUAUGACUUGGAAAAUCGUUUUCAUCACGACACAAAUUUAACAUAAGAAACCAGGCAAUCCCUUGACGGAUUUGUAACCUGUCAUGUUAUGACAUGUUCUGUCGAUUUUGGAUAGCACGUUUAAACUAUUACCUACCUGCAGUAAUAAUUAGAAACGGAGACCAAAAGCAUCGUCUUUAAGGCACAGAUUCUGGACAAUGGUGCGCGGCCAUAGAGAUAGAUAGAGGACUCAUCUUUGUAUCUGUGUCAUUAUAGCGUCUGUGACAGAAUUCGCAGCGGCAUUGAGGGGAUUCGAUUAAUCUGGCCUGGGGUCCCGGACAGGCGUGUUUAGCACGGGGUAAAAGUUGAUGGCAUUCAUUUUGGUUUUGGCCAGGUGCCACAUUCAAAGCCCACAGCUAAACAAAGGUGAUGUAAUUAAGCACUUGGAGAAAUGAGUAGGAUUCUGUGUUUUCACAUGAAAAAGUUAUUGCUUUUGAUAAAAUGAUUUAUCUGCCUUCCCAAUGAAACCUGGUUAAAAAAAAAUCUAUCAAAUAUUUGAUGGAAAAGAGAUGUUUCUGGAUGAUGCACCUUGUUGACAAAAUGACCGAAAGGCACAGAUUACUGUUGCUAUUUGAGAAGGGCGCUAACCUCUUGCCACAUUUGCCUGUUCACCGUUUACAUCACAGGCCAUAAAACGGUGCCCUGUGGCUCAGCAUAAUUGAAUCCGCACAUUCUCCAUUUGAAGCAGUACAUUUUCUUUACAAUUGGCUUAUCCCUACUGAUGAGCCAGCUGGAGAUUCCAACAGGGUCAGGAGGGAUCAGCCAAUGAAGUUGGAAAUACCACCCAGUUGACUACAUUAAAAUGGUGGAAGCCAGCAAUGCAUUGAGUUAUAAUAAGAACGAGAGACAGCCUCCAAGAUGGCCGACCGUUGUUUUAAAUGUAAUCUACUCACGGUCAGAUACGCCUAUUCAAGGAGGCUGACAUCUUGCUAGUUCUGGAUUCAGGAGCCCAUUAGUAAAUGCCAGUGACGGUCUGCCGUUUAAGACAAGUGAGGACAGGUUUUUUUUUUUAAAUGAGCAUGGCCUUAUUUCUAUACCAGCAUAUUGGAUGACUAUCGUUCAUAUGCCAUUCACCCAGCUCAAUGUAACAUCAAUAAGUUUAGGCUACUACAUGAUACUCUAAUUUUCCCUAUACCCAUCAAGAGGUUGCUACUGUAACCGAUGUGAAAUGGCUAGCUAGUUAGCGGUGGUGUGCGCUAGCAGCCUUUCAGUCGGUGACGUCACUUGCUCUGAGACCUUGAAGUAGUGGUUCCCCUUGCUCUGCCUUUGUGGCGCGAUGGGUAAAGAUGCUUUGUGGGAGACUGUUGUUGAUGUGUGCAGAGGGUCCCUGGUUCGAGCGAGGGGACGGACGUAAAGUUAAACUGUUACACUACAACCUAGCCUAUGAAUGAAAGUUUACAAUGUAGGUGCACAGGUCGAGAGGAAUUUGAGUGAUCAUGGUAACAUUGACACAUUCAAUACCGCCUUGCACACUCUUGCCUGUAUCUAGCUGAUCUAGGGUGUAAUCAUUAGUCCAACAGUUGCAAACAAUUGGACAAAUUUUUGACAAAUUCCGGUAUGUUUGUUUGUCUUCGUUUCGUUUGCUUCCAUUUAAGGAACGUUUUUCAACAGAAUCGGCGGAAUGAAUACACCCCUGAUCACACACAAACAGUAGAUCCUGGACUAUCCAUUCACUUCAGUCAGUCUCAUCUUCCAAUGUCAGGAAUCCAUCACAUUGAAUGAGCAGGUCCUGGAUGAGAGUGCGCAAUUCAACUGAUCCCAGGUGCUGCUCCAGGGCGCCGCAGACUGAGAAGAGGUGUGGACUUUUGGUUCGACUCACGAUAUGGAGAGCUGUGAAAGCCUGUCUGCAGAUGGAGAGGUCCCAGUGAAGGUCCCAAGAGACUGUCUGCAGGUGAAGAGGUCCCAGUGAAGGACCAAGAGACUGUCUGUAGAUGAAGAGGUCCCAGUGAAGGUCCAAGCUGUCUGCAGAUGGAAAGGUCCCAGUGAAGGUCCCAAGAGACUGUCUGCAGAUGAAGAGGUCCCAGUGAAGGUCCAAGAGACUGUCUGCAGAUGAAGAGGUCCCAGUGAAGGUCCAAGAGACUGUCUGCAGAUGAAGAGGUCCCAGUGAAGGUUCAAGAGACUGUCUGUAGAUGAAGAGGUCUCAGUGAAGGUUCAAGAGACUGCAGGCACAUCCUUGUGGGCCAUAGGAUUUGUGUGUAUUAUUGUUGGGCCGGAAUAGAAGUCUGCUCACCCAGUAGAGCAGGGAGUGGAUCAAGGUUGGCCACCUCUGGUAUGUAUAUUUUAGUUUUUCUAAAAAUAAUGCUUUAGUAAUAAUAGCAUACUUACUAAGAUGUCUAACAUUUACAAACAAGUUAGCUUAUUUGUACAUUGAAAUUACAUGUUGAUUCAUUCCAUUUUUAUGAAUUGUUAAACUUGUUUUAAUUGUAACGUAAAAACAUUAUUCAAGAUGAACUAGUGUCAAUGUCCAUUAAUUACAGAUCAGAAUUCUACAAUAAAAAGGUGUG